GUCAUUUCCCCCGCAGAUAUCUACCCAAAGCCGAAACCCCCGUACCGCCCCCAGCCCGGGAUGUCGGACGACAGUGGAAAUAUCUACCCAAAGCCGAAACCCCCGUACCGCCCCCAGCCCGGGAUGUCGGACGACAGUGGAAGUAUCUACCCCAGGCCGAGGCCACCCCCUCGCCCGCAGCCCGGUGGUUCAGACAGCGGGGGAGGUUACUUCGGCAACACCGACCGGGAUGACGGCCGCUACCCGCCCAGACCCAAGCCGCCCGCAGGUAAGCCCGUGGCUUCUCUCACUCUGCUGGCGAGGUGUUGGGGAGGCCUGGGUGCAGAGUCGGCCCCGAGCGUAAGA
rnacentral:lncRNA from 1 species